GACGAACGCUGGCGGCGUGCUUAACACAUGCAAGUCGAACGGAAAGGCCCUGCUUUUGUGGGGUGCUCGAGUGGCGAACGGGUGAGUAACACGUGAGUAACCUGCCCUUGACUUUGGGAUAACUUCAGGAAACUGGGGCUAAUACCGGAUAGGAGCUCCUGCUGCAUGGUGGGGGUUGGAAAGUUUCGGCGGUUGGGGAUGGACUCGCGGCUUAUCAGCUUGUUGGUGGGGUAGUGGCUUACCAAGGCUUUGACGGGUAGCCGGCCUGAGAGGGGGACCGGCCACAUUGGGACUGAGAUACGGCCCAGACUCCUACGGGGGGCAGCAGUGGGGAAUAUUGCACAAUGGGCGGAAGCCUGAUGCAGCAACGCCGCGUGCGGGAUGACGGCUUUCGGGUUGUAAACCGCUUUCGCCUGUGACGAAGCUUGAGUGACGGUAAUGGGUAAAGAAGCACCGGCUAACUACGUG
rnacentral:rRNA from 1 species